UUUUCAUUGAAUGUGAUGAUAAAAUUAGAAAUAAUGUUUGUAAAAAAAAAAAGAAAAAAGGAAAAGAAGAGUGGGGAGAAGGAGGAGGGUAUUCAUGGCGUUUGGGUCCAUUUAAUGCAUUUGAACUAUUUGGACAGUUGGGAAAGAAAGACAGGACCUUUCUUCUUCUUCUUCUUUCUUGUUCUUUCAUAAAACCUCCGGAACGUCUCUUUAAAUGCUGCUUGGGUCUCAGAGGCCACAGUAAGAAAGACAAAAGCAUUGAUUCAAAACCCUUCAGCAGCAUUUACAGAAACAGAGUUCUUGAGAAGAGGAGACGACGACAGAUCAAGUGAACUUAGCUUGCUGGAGAAAGGAAGGUUUUCUCGAGGUCGAUCUGACCUUAUUCUAAUGUGGCAAAUCUGGGAAUCAAUGUGGGUAUUCCAAUCUUGAUCUUGCUCUCACCACUUUAUUUAUGGCCUCUGUUCAUCCCGAAAUUGAAUGUUUCUCAUAAAAGUAGCUGCUUUCAGCUUUGAUUGUCUGUCUCCUGCUUUCAUUUCGGUUGGGUGUCUAGAAAGUAGAAACAGCUGUGGAAUCUUUGAGAAUUAUACUGAGCUGUAGGUCUGCAGAGAAAUCAAGAAAUGUUUAGGGUUUUCAACUGUUAAUAUGGUUGUGCUACAUUAGGAUUGAGAUAAAAGGAUAACAAUGUAGCUUGGAAAAUUGCAGGGUUGAGGGAUUCAGUCAUCUUCUUGAGUAAGGGGAAANNNNN
rnacentral:lncRNA from 1 species